rnacentral:rRNA from 1 species
GAUGAACGCUGACAGAAUGCUUAACACAUGCAAGUCGAUUCGAUUUACCUUCGGGUAUUGAGGAUGGCGGACGGGUGAGUAACGCGUAAGGAACUUGCCUCUUGGUCUGGGACAACUGUUGGAAACGACAGCUAAUACCGGAUAUUAUGAGAUUCUCGCAUGGGAAACUUAUGAAAGCUAUAUGCGCCAAGAGAGAGCCUUGCGUUCCAUUAGCUAGUUGGUGGGGUAACGGCCCACCAAGGCGACGAUGGAUAGCCGGCCUGAGAGGGUGAACGGCCACAAGGGGACUGAGACACGGCCCUUACUCCUACGAGAGGCAGCAGUGGGGAAUAUUGGACAAUGGGCCACAAGCCUGAUCCAGCAAUUCUGUGUGCACGAUGAAGGUCUUCGGAUUGUAAAGUGCUUUCAGUUGGGAAGAAGAAAGUGACGGUACCAACAGAAGAAGCGACGGCUAAAUACGUGCCAGCAGCCGCGGUAAUACGUAUGUCGCAAGCGUUAUCCGGAUUUAUUGGGCGUAAAGCGCGUCUAGGCGGAAAAAUAAGUCUGAUGUUAAAAUGCGGGGCUCAACUCCGUAUUGCGUUGGAAACUGUUUUUCUAGAGUACUGGAGAGGUGGGCGGAACUACAAGUGUAGAGGUGAAAUUCGUAGAUAUUUGUAGGAAUGCCGAUGGAGAANUCAGCUCACUGGACAGANACUGACGCUAAAGCGCGAAAGCGUGGGGAGCAAACAGGAUUAGAUACCCUGGUAGUCCACGCCGU